rnacentral:rRNA from 1 species
CCUACGGGUGGCAGCAGUGGGGAAUAUUGGACAAUGGGGGGAACCCUGAUCCAGCCAUGCCGCGUGUGUGAAGAAGGCCCUCGGGUUGUAAAGCACUUUCAGUGAGGAAGAACGCCUGGUGGUUAAUACCCAUCAGGAAAGACAUCACUCACAGAAGAAGCACCGGCUAACUCCGUGCCAGCAGCCGCGGUAAUACGGAGGGUGCGAGCGUUAAUCGGAAUUACUGGGCGUAAAGCGCGCGUAGGUGGCUUGAUAAGCCGGUUGUGAAAGCCCCGGGCUCAACCUGGGAACGGCAUCCGGAACUGUCAAGCUAGAGUGCAGGAGAGGAAGGUAGAAUUCCCGGUGUAGAGGUGAAAUGCGUAGAGAUCGGGAGGAAUACCAGUGGCGAAGGCGGCCUUCUGGACUGACACUGACACUGAGGUGCGAAAGCGUGGGUAGCAAACAGGAUUAGAUACCCUGGUAGUC